UACGUAGGGUGCAAGCGUUGUCCCGGAAUUAUUGGGCGUAAAGAGCUCGUAGGCGGUUUGUCGCGUCUGCUGUGAAAACCCGAGGCUCAACCUCGGGCCUGCAGUGGGUACGGGCAGACUAGAGUGCGGUAGGGGAGAUUGGAAUUCCUGGUGUAGCGGUGGAAUGCGCAGAUAUCAGGAGGGACACCAAUGGCGAAGGCAGACUCUGGGCCGUAACUGACGCUGAGGUACGAAA
rnacentral:rRNA from 1 species